rnacentral:tRNA from 1 species
GCCGGUGUGGUCUAGUGGUUUGAGCAUUGGACUACAACUCUGGAGACCAGGGUUUGAAUCCUGGCUCGGCCA